rnacentral:tRNA from 1 species
GUUGUGGCUCAGUGGGAGAGUGCUUGCCUAGCAUGCGUGAGGCACUGGGUUUGAUCCCUGUCCCAACA